rnacentral:rRNA from 1 species
AUGACCCGUAGCUGUUUAACACAGAUGUUAAUUACGUCGCGGUACAAGCCAAGCCAUUUUCCGUAUAUUCGCCAUAAAGUUCUGUUGAGAAACACAGUAAAGUUCAGCGGGGCAGAGCGCACAGUACCCCUCCCUCCCCCCACACCUCCGCAGCUUUCCUCCCCUUUAUCCAUCUCCUCCGCCACUCAGCUCCUCCACCGCCGUGGCGCCGAUUCAGAGACACUGCCGACGGCGGUGUGGCAGAUCGAACUGGGGCAAGUCGAUCCGGCAAAGCAUAUAGGUAACAAAUCAACAGAACUCGUCAAACCCGUACCAGAUCGGAAAUAUCCAUCUCGAUACUGA